rnacentral:misc_RNA from 1 species
AGUCGUAACAAGGUUUCCGUAGGUGAACCUGCGGAAGGAUCAUUAACACAAAUUCAACUUCUAUUAUAUCUCCAAACACCUGGGUGAACUUUAUUCAACCAAAACUUAUUUUUUUUUUUCUUUUUUUGAUUAACCCCCAAAAAAAAUUGAUUAAAACAAACUCAAUAACCAAAAAAACAAUAAUAAAACAAAAAACAACAACAAAAACACUAACAAAAAAAACAACUCUUAACAAUGGAUAUCUUGGUUCUCGC